rnacentral:misc_RNA from 1 species
CAGCAGUGUAUUGGCAUACAGG